AACGCACAUUGCGCUCUCUGGUAUUCCGGAGAGCAUGCUUGUUUGAGUAUCAGUAAAACACCCUCAGCUCCCCCGCUUCUUAGGAAGAGAGGAGCUGGACUUGAGAGAUCCCAACGGCAGUGAGAACUGCUGGCGGGUCACUUGAAAUGCAGGUGCGGCUGGACACAUCUUCUGAGCUAUAAGCAUUACUUAUUUAGUCCCGUAAAACGGAUUAUAUCUAUUGCUGCAGCUAACAUAAAGGUCGAUUGUUCUUGUGCCCGACUGAUGCAGGAAAAUGAAGGCGUCUAAUAGCGUCCUUUGUUCAACUCGAUCUCAAAUCAAGCAAGACUACCCGCUGAACUUAA
rnacentral:misc_RNA from 1 species